AACGAACGCUGGCGGCAGGCCUAACACAUGCAAGUCGAACGCUCCGCAAGGGGGAGUGGCGCACGGGUGAGUAACACGUGGGAACCUACCUUCUGGUACGGAACAACCAAGGGAAACUUUGGCUAAGACCGUAUACGACCUCCGGGUGAAAGAUUGAUCGCCGGAAGAGGGGCCCGCGUCCGAUUAGGUAGUUGGUGAGGUAACGGCUCACCAAGCCUUCGAUCGGUAGCUGGUCUGAGAGGAUGACCAGCCACACUGGGACUGAGACACGGCCCAGACUCCUACGGGAGGCAGCAGUGGGGAAUAUUGGACAAUGGGCGCAAGCCUGAUCCAGCCAUGCCGCGUGAGUG
rnacentral:rRNA from 1 species